rnacentral:rRNA from 1 species
AUACGGAGGGUCCAAGCGUUAUCCGGAAUCAUUGGGUUUAAAGGGUCUGUAGGCGGACAAUUAAGUCAGAGGUGAAAGCCCACAGCUCAACUGUGGAACUGCCUUUGAUACUGGUUGUCUUGAAUUAUAGUGAAGUAGAUAGAAUAUGUAGCGUAGCGGUGAAAUGCAUAGAUAUUACAUAGAAUACCGAUUGCGAAGGCAGUCUACUAACUAUAUAUUGACGCUGAUGGACGAAAGCGUGGGGAGCGAACAGGAUUAGAAACCCUUGUAGUCC